GACGGAGGAUGCAAGCGUUAUCCGGAAUUAUUGGGCGUAAAGCGUACGUAGGCUGUUAGAUAAGUCUGUUGUCAAAGCGCGAGGCUCAACCUUGUAAAGGCAAUGGAAACUGUUUGACUAGAGAGAGAAAGGGGCAGGAGGAAUUCCAGGUGUAGCGGUGAAAUGCGUAGAUAUCUGGAAGAACACCAGUGGCGAAAGCGUCCUGCUGGAUCUCAACUGACGCUGAAGUACGAAAGCUAGGGGAGCGAAUGGG
rnacentral:rRNA from 1 species